AUUGAACGCUGGCGGCAUGCCUUACACAUGCAAGUCGAACGGCAGCGCGGGAGCAAUCCUGGCGGCGAGUGGCGAACGGGUGAGUAAUACAUCGGAACGUGCCCAAUCGUGGGGGAUAACGCAGCGAAAGCUGUGCUAAUACCGCAUACGAUCUACGGAUGAAAGCAGUGGAUCGCAAGACCUUGCGCGAAUGGAGCGCCCGAUGGCAGAUUAGGUAGUUGGUGAGGUAAAGGCUCACCAAGCCUUCGAUCUGUAGCUGGUCUGAGAGGACGACCAGCCACACUGGGACUGAGACACGGCCCAGACUCCUACGGGAGGCAGCAGUGGGGAAUUUUGGACAAUGGGCGAAAGCCUGAUCCAGCCAUGCCGCGUGCAGGAUGAAGGCCUUCGGGUUGUAAACUGCUUUUGUACGGAACGAAACGGUCUUUUCUAAUAAAGAAGGCUAAUGACGGUACCGUAAGAAUAAGCACCGGCUAACUACGUG
rnacentral:rRNA from 1 species